UGCGAUACAGGGUGACAGCCCCGUACACAAAAGCGCAUGUGCUGUGAGCUCGAUGAGUAGGGCGGGACACGUGGUAUCCUGUCUGAAUAUGGGGGGACCAUCCUCCAAGGCUAAAUACUCCUGACUGACCGAUAGUGAACCAGUACCGUGAGGGAAAGGCGAAAAGAACCCCGGCGAGGGGAGUGAAAAAGAACCUGAAACCGUGUACGUACAAGCAGUGGGAGCCC
rnacentral:rRNA from 1 species